rnacentral:lncRNA from 1 species
GUUGAAAAGUCAACAAAGGUAGGAAGCAACUUGUUAAAAAGGUUGAGCAAGUUGCACCGAAUGUUGAAAAGUUGAAUGGGAUAAUUGCAAUUUUGGUCCCUAAUUUUUUAGGCCAUUUGCAAGUUAGUCCCUGAACCUCAACUAUAAAUAGGCCUUUUCAUUUUUCAUUUCAACCAUCCCAACCAAUCUUUCUCUCUUAGUUUUCUCUCUUCUCCCAUUUGAGAAUUCUUAAGGAAUUCUAUUUGUUUGUAAUAUUUUGGAGAUAGUAAAGUUAUCAUCUGGUGUUAGUGCCCGAGGACGUAGGUAUAAUUUACCGAACCUCGUUAAAUCUCUUGUGUUCUUUCUUGUCCUAUUUUUCUUUCAAUAUUUGAGGGUAUAAUAGUAGUAUUUAAUUGUGCUAUUAAAUUACUAUAGAAGGGAUAUUCUGUCUAAGGAAAGACUUGGUAUUUAAGAGAUCCAUGUGAUCCACCUCUCUUCCCUGGGAAUUGAACUUUGUGUGAUUUUUUAGUACAAUAAUUUACACGCUUCCGACCCUAUUGGAACAACAAGUGGUAUCAAGAGCCGAAGGUUAAUCGUAGUAUGCUCUGUGGUUGCAGUUUAAACUGAUCUUCCACAUCAGAAAAGAUUUCCUUAGGUAUAUUGAAAGAUUAUGGAGAAAACGGUCGGUGUAGGAGCUUCAACAUCGUCCAUGUGGACAAGACCGACAAUUGCAAAUGCAAGAUUGGCCGUGGAGAUCUUUGAUGGCACGGGCCAUUUUGGUAUGUGGCAAAGUGAGGUUCUAGAUGCCCUUUUUCAGCAGGGUCUAGACAUUGCCAUUGAUGAAGAGAAACCAGAUGAUGUACAGGAGAAAGAUUGGAAGGCGAUCAAUCGGUUGGCAUGUGGCACAAUUCGAUCAUGCCUUUCUCGAGAGCAGAGGUAUGCUUUUUCAAAGGAGACUUCUGCAAAUAAGUUGUGGGUGGCACUUGAAGAAAAAUUUUUGAAGAAAAACAGUCAAAAUAAGCUCCACUUGAAGAAAAGACUGUUUCGCUUCACAUACGUCCCAAGUACCACAAUGAAUGAUCACAUCACCAAAUUUAAUCAGUUAGUCACUGAUUUGCUGAAUAUGGAUGAGACAUUCAAAGAUGAAGAUUUGGCUUUGAUGCUGUUGGGGUCACUUCCUGAGGAGUUUGAGUUCCUAGAAACUACUCUACUUCAUGGCAGGAGUGAUAUAUCUCUGAGCGAAGUCUGUGCGGCCUUAUACAGUUAUGAACAGAGAAAGAAGGACAAACAGAAAAACUCAAUCAGAGAUACAGAAGCUUUAGUAGUCCGAGGUCGUUCAUACACUCGGAAGAAAACUCAAAAGGGGAGAUCAAAGUCAAAGUCCAGACUCGGGAAAGAUGAAUGUGCUUUUUGUCAUGAGAAAGGCCACUGGAAGAAAAAUUGUCCAAAGCUGAAGAAUAAGGGAAAAGCUGCUGUAGAUGCUUGUGUUGCUAAGCAUGAUACUAGUGACUCUGAACUAUCACUGGUUGCAUCAUCAUCGUCGUUCCAUUCAGAUGAGUGGAUAUUGGAUUCGGGUUGUACCUAUCAUAUGUCCCCUAACCGGGAGUGGUUCUCUGAUUUAGUAGAACUAAAUGGAGGAGUUGUUUAUAUGGGCAAUGACAAUGCCUGUAAAACUGUUGGGAUAGGUUCAAUCCAAUUAAAGAAUCAAGAUGGAUCAACCAGAGUUCUGACUGAUGUUCGGUACGUGCCCAGUUUGAAGAAAAAUCUCAUCUCAUUGGGAGCCUUGGAAUCCAAUGGUUCAGUUGUUACUAUGAGAGAUGGGAUUUUGAAAGUGACAUCUGGCGCACUUGUGAUAUUGAAGGGCAUCAAGAAAAAUAACUUGUAUUACUACCAAGGUAGUACAGUUAUUGGAGCAGUCGCUGCAGCUUCCGGUAACAAAGACUUGGACUCAAUGCAGUUGUGGCAUAUGAAGUUGGGACAUGCCAGCGAAAAAUCCUUGCAAAUUCUGGCAAAGCAAGGAUUGUUGAAAGGUGCAAAGGCUUGCAAAUUAAAAUUUUGUGAGCACUGUGUUCUGGGAAAGCAAAAGAGAGUGAAAUUCGGCACUGCUAUCCAUAAUACAAAAGGUAUUUUGGAAUAUAUUCACUCAGAUGUGUGGGGGCCUUCCAAAACACCUUCGUUGGGAGGAAAACACUACUUUGUUACUUUUGUUGAUAACUUUUCCAGAAGAGUUUGGGUGUAUACCAUGAAAACUAAAGAUGAAGUGCUUGGAGUUUUUCUUAAAUGGAAAACUAUGAUCGAAAACCAGACGGCAAGAAAAUCAAGCGGCUUAGGACGGACAAUGGAGGGGAAUAUAAAAGUGAUCCGUUCUUCGAUGUGUGCCAAGAGUAUGGUAUUGUUCGACACUUCACAGUUAGGGAUACACCACAACAGAAUGGAGUGGCAGAGCGUAUGAAUCGAACAUUGCUGGAGAAAGUUCGAUGUAUGUUGUCCAAUGCUGGGUUGGGCAAGCAAUUUUGGGCUGAGGCUGUGACAUACGCUGGCCAUCUUGUUAAUCGUUUGCCAUCAUCUGCAUUAGAAAGAAAAACUCCUAUGGAGGUAUGGUCUGGAAAAUCGGCUACAGAUUAUGAUUCCUUCAAUGUGUUUGGAACCACUGCAUAUUACCAUGUGAAGGAGUCAAAGUUAGAUCCGAGGGCAAAGAAAGCUCUCUUUAUGGGAAUCACUUCUGGAGUGAAGGGAUUUCGUCUUUGGUGCUUAAGCACAAAGAAAAUGAUCUGUAGCAGAGAUGUUACCUUUGAUGAAUCUGCCACAUUGAAAAAGGUAGCAGAUAAAGAUAUUCAGACGAGCAAUACUCCACAGCAGGUGGAGUGUACUCCAAAACAGGUGGAGUUUGAGCAGAUGGGGAUUUGCCCAGUUAAUAAGUCUAAUUCUCCAGCCACAAUGGAGGAAUUAGAGGUUGAAGAGGUUCUGAUCCAAGAACCACUAAGUACACCAGAACCAGUUGCAGUUGCAAGGCCACGGAGAGAAAUUCGUAAACCUGCUCGAUUUACUGAUAUGGUGGCCUACGCCCUUCCCGUUGGUGAUGAUAUUCCUAUCACUUAUCAAGAAGCAAUGCAAUGCUUAGAAAGUGAUAAAUGGAAAAGCGCCAUGGAUGAAGAAAUGCAGUCUCUCCUGAAGAAUAAUACUUGGGAAUUGGCGCAAUUACCGAAAGGUAAAAGGGCAAUCGGAUGCAAGUGGGUAUUCGCAAAGAAAGAUGGAUCUCCUAGCAAGAAGGAUAUUCGCUACAAGGCAAGAUUGGUAGCUAAAGGCUACGCUCAGAAGGAGGGAAUUGACUACAAUGAUGUAUUUUCCCCUGUUGUGAAGCAUUCCUCCAUUAGAAUUUUGUUGGCCUUGGUAGCACAGUUGAAUUUGGAGCUAGCUCAACUUGAUGUUAAGACGGUUUUCUUGCAUGGUGAGUUAGAAGAGGAGAUCUAUAUGACUCAGCCAGAAGGAUACACAGAUGCUGGUGGUAGAAAUUGGGUUUGUAAGCUUAACAAAUCGCUAUAUGGAUUGAAGCAAUCCCCGAGGCAGUGGUACAAGCGAUUUGAUAGCUUUAUGAGAAGGCAGAAGUACACAAGAAGCAAAUAUGACAAUUGUGUGUAUUUGCAGAAGCUGCAUGACGGAUCUUUCAUUUAUCUACUCUUGUAUGUUGAUGAUAUGUUAAUCGCUUCGAAGAGCCAAAAUGAGAUAGAUAAGCUGAAGGCUCAGUUGAAUCAAGAGUUCGAGAUGAAAGAUCUAGGUGAGGCCAAGAAGAUUCUCGGCAUGGAGAUAAGUAGAGAUAGACAGAGAGGCAAGCUUUGUUUGAAUCAGAAGCAAUAUCUGAAAAAGGUAUUACAAUGUUUUGGUGUAAAUGAAAACACAAAACAUGUAAGUACCCCACUUGCUUCUCAUUUGAAACUUAGUGCUCAAUUAUCUCCGAAAACUGAAGAAGAAAGAGAAUAUAUGGCGAAAGUCCCAUAUGCUAAUGCAGUUGGGAGUUUGAUGUAUGCGAUGGUGUGUACGAGGCCUGACAUUUCACAAGCUGUUGGAGUUGUGAGCAGGUAUAUGCAUGAUCCUGGAAAAGGACAUUGGCAAGCUGUGAAAUGGAUUCUACGGUAUCUUCGAAAAACCAUAGAUGUUGGUUUAAUUUUUGAACAGGAUGAAGCACUUGGUCAGUUUGUAGUUGGAUAUGUUGAUUCCGACUUUGCUGGUGAUUUAGAUAAACGUCGUUCAACUACGGGGUAUCUGUUUACUCUUGCGAAAGCCCCAGUAAGUUGGAAGUCUACCUUACAGUCUACAGUAGCUGUGUCUACUACAGAGGCAGAAUAUAUGGCAGUUACAAAAGCUGUUAAGGAGGCUAUUUGGCUUAAUGGAUUAUUGAAAGACUUGGGAGUUGUUCAAAGUCACAUUAGUCUAUAUUGUGACAGUCAGAGUGCUAUUCAUUUAGCGAAAAAUCAAGUCUAUCAUUCAAGAACCAAGCAUAUCGACGUAAGAUAUCACUUUGUGCGGGAAGUCUUUGAAAAAGGAAAAAUUCUACUUCAGAAGAUUCCGACAGCAGAUAAUCCCGCAGAUAUGAUGACCAAGGUGGUAACAACAAUCAAGUUUAAUCAUUGUUUGAACUUGAUUAACAUCCUGAGAAUUUGAGCACCUUUAGGUGUAUGGCGCUCGAGAGCGCAUUUGGAGGCACUACAAAAGAUAGCUUUAUCGAAUUUGGGGAGUUGAAGGAAGUAUGUGAAGAUGUGAUUAUCCUAAUCAAAUCUUCAAGGUGGAGAUUGUUGAAAAGUCAACAAAGGUAGGAAGCAACUUGUUAAAAAGGUUGAGCAAGUUGCACCGAAUGUUGAAAAGUUGAAUGGGAUAAUUGCAAUUUUGGUCCCUAAUUUUUUAGGCCAUUUGCAAGUUAGUCCCUGAACCUCAACUAUAAAUAGGCCUUUUCAUUUUUCAUUUCAACCAUCCCAACCAAUCUUUCUCUCUUAGUUUUCUCUCUUCUCCCAUUUGAGAAUUCUUAAGGAAUUCUAUUUGUUUGUAAU